GUCACUCUGCAAAAUUUAUUCCCCAAAAAAACACUCCAAAAUAGAGCUAUCAUUCUCAGUCGUAUACCUCACAUUCUCAUCAAUUUUAUAGCCAAACAACAUUGUUACACAUCAUUGAAGUAGAAGGAAUCAAAAGAAUCAACUGAAACAUUCGUACCUGAGUUUCUCUUCCAUGUUGGAAUCCACACCUGAGCUUGUUUUCCAGCAUGGUAGCAAACACGGUUGUUUCCACUAAAACUUGUUACCAAC
rnacentral:lncRNA from 1 species